rnacentral:rRNA from 1 species
CCUACGGGUGACUGCAGUGGGGGAUAUUGCACAAUGGGGGAAACCCUGAUGCAGCGACGCCGCGUGGGUGAAGAAGUAUUUCGGUAUGUAAAGCCCUAUCAGCAGGGAAGAAAGAAGACGGUACCUGACUAAGAAGCCCCGGCUAACUACGUGCCAGCAGCCGCGGUAAUACGUAGGGGGCGAGCAUUAUCCGGAUUCACUGGGUGUAAAGGGAUCGUAGACGGCCGUGCAAGCCAGGCGAGAAAGCCCGGGGACCAGCCCCGGUACUGCCCUUGGAACUGUGCGGCUAGAGUGCUGGAGGGGGAGGCGGAAUUCCUGGUGUAGCGGGGAAAUGCGUAGAUAUCAGGAGGAACACCGGCGGCGAAGGCGGCCUGCUGGACCGCGACUGACGUUGAGGCUCGAAAGCGUGGGGAGCGAACAGGAUUAGAUACCCGGGUAGUC